rnacentral:rRNA from 1 species
GAUGAACGCUGGCGGCGUGCCUAAUACAUGCAAGUCGAACGAAACUUCUUUAUCACCGAGUGCUUGCACUCACCGAUAAAGAGUUGAGUGGCGAACGGGUGAGUAACACGUGGGCAACCUGCCCAAAAGAGGGGGAUAACACUUGGAAACAGGUGCUAAUACCGCAUAACCAUAGUUACCGCAUGGUAACUAUGUAAAAGGUGGCUAUACUACCGCUUUUGGAUGGGCCCGCGGCGCAUUAGCUAGUUGGUAGGGUAAAGGCUUACCAAGGCAAUGACGCGUAGCCGAAUUGAGAGGUUGAUCGGCCACAUUGGGACUGAGACACGGCCCAAACUCCUACGGGAGGCAGCAGUAGGGAAUCUUCCACAAUGGGCGAAAGCCUGAUGGAGCAACGCCGCGUGGGUGAAGAAGGUCUUCGGAUCGUAAAACCCUGUUGUUAGAGAAGAAAGUGCGUGAGAGUAACUGUUCACGUUUCGACGGUAUCUAACCAGAAAGCCACGGCUAACUACGUG